rnacentral:rRNA from 1 species
GUCGAACGGAGCGCCUAUGAAGGAGAUUUCGGUCAACGGAAUAGGUUGCUUAGUGGCGGACGGGUGAGUAACGCGUGAGGAACCUGCCUUUCAGAGGGGGACAACAGUUGGAAACGACUGCUAAUACCGCAUAACACAUAGGUGUCGCAUGGCAUUUAUGUCAAAGAUUUAUCGCUGAAAGAUGGCCUCGCGUCUGAUUAGCUAGUUGGUGAGGUAACGGCUCACCAAGGCGACGAUCAGUAGCCGGACUGAGAGGUUGGCCGGCCACAUUGGGACUGAGAUACGGCCCAGACUCCUACGGGAGGCAGCAGUGGGGAAUAUUGGGCAAUGGGCGCAAGCCUGACCCAGCAACGCCGCGUGAAGGAAGAAGGCUUUCGGGUUGUAAACUUCUUUUGACAGGGAAGAGUAGAAGACGGUACCUGUCGAAUAAGCCCACGGCUAACUACGUGCCAGCAGCCGCGGUAAUACGUAGGUGGCAAGCGUUGUCCGGAUUUACUGGGUGUAAAGGGCGUGUAGCCGGGUUGACAAGUCAGAUGUGAAAUCCUGCGGCUUAACCGCAGAACUGCAUUUGAAACUGUUGAUCUUGAGUACUGGAGAGGCAGACGGAAUUCCUAGUGUAGCGGUGAAAUGCGUA